UACCGAAAGCGGCUGGCACCCGUCCACAACUGCCAAAUCUCGGGUCUUCGGACUCGCAGAACCCCGCGAACGAAGUGCAUUAGUUUGUUAUGCGACGUUGGGCGAGAGGCGUCUCGCCGGSCCCCCCCCCUCGGGACGGGUUCCGAAUCAAAGCGUACACCCCAUUUUCAACCCCACUAAACUCUGAAUCUGAACUCGAAAGGGAGGCUGGCCUACC
rnacentral:rRNA from 1 species